GGAGAAAACUGCAAUAACAAGAAUUUGAUGUGUGCUUCCCUUCAAAUCUGCUUAAUUAGCAUGGACAGUGUUCCCCUGAAUUAAUAUAUGGUGAAAAGUUGUGGUCCAGAGUUUCAUACUUCUGCAUAUGGCUAGCCAGCUAUCCCAGCAUCAUUUAUUGAACAGGGAAUCCCCAAAAAGACUCUUAAUAAGCUCCCUUGGUGAUAGGAUUUGAUUAUUUUUGCCUUUACACUUUUCAUCUGUAUGUUCUACUUUUAUGACCAGAAAAAUACAUUUAAAAAAAGACAUUAAUAUGUUCACUAGUUCCAUUUUACCCUGGUAUCUAAUUAUCAGAUAUCUUCUAGAAGAUCCAGGAUAUACCUCAUAGGAAAUCUAUAGGAGGCCAACUGCUUAGAAAUGUCUCCAGCUCCAGGAAGUCAUGCUCUCCUGUCAUCAUUCAAUGCCCUGAUUUCUUGAUUUCCAAUAUCUAUCAUUUUCCUGACUCUGCUUUCAAAUCUAGCCUAGCUCGGCGCCAUCUCACCUUUGUCCAGCCUUUAUUCCAUUGAUAUUCCCCUCGGGUGGGCCAUCUGUGGUAGACGUGAGCCUCUGGUGCUCAAAGCC
rnacentral:lncRNA from 1 species